GCAGAACGCGAAGAACCUUACCAGGUCUUGACAUCCAGAGAACUUUCCAGAGAUGGAUUGGUGCCUUCGGGAACUCUGAGACAGGUGCUGCAUGGCUGUCGUCAGCUCGGGUCGUGAGAUGUUGGGUUAAGUCCGUAACGAGCGCAACCCGUUGUCCUUAGUUACCAGCACGUCAUGGUGGGCACUCGUAAGGAGACUGCCGGUGACAAACCGGAGGAAGGUGGGGAUGACGUCAAGUCAUCAUGGCCCUUACGGCCUGGGCUACACACGUGCUACAAUGGUCGGUACAGAGGGUUGCCAAGCCGCGAGGUGGAGCUAAUCUCACAAAACCGAUCGUAGUCCGGAUCGCAGUCUGCAACGUCGACUGCGUGAAGUCGGAAUCGCUAGUAAUCGCGAAUCAGAAUGUCGCGGUGAAUACGUU
rnacentral:rRNA from 1 species